UAGGGAAUCUUCCGCAAUGGACGAAAGUCUGACGGAGCAACGCCGCGUGAGUGAAGAAGGUUUUCGGAUCGUAAAACUCUGUUGUCAGAGAAGAACAAGUCGGAGAGUAACUGCUCCGGCCUUGACGGUAUCUGACCAGAAAGCCACGGCUAACUACGUGCCAGCAGCCGCGGUAAUACGUAGGUGGCAAGCGUUGUCCGGAUUUAUUGGGCGUAAAGCGAGCGCAGGCGGUUCCUUAAGUCUGAUGUGAAAGCCCACGGCUUAACCGUGGAAGGUCAUUGGAAACUGGGGAACUCGAGUGCAGAAGAGGAGAGUGGAAUUCCAUGUGUAGCGGUGAAAUGCGUAGAUAUAUGGAGGAACACCAGUAGCGAAGGCGACUCUCUGGUCUGUAACUGACGCUGAGGCUCGAAAGCGUGGGGAGCAAACAG
rnacentral:rRNA from 1 species